ACCACGCCACUUUUACCGUGUUCCUGGAUCUUUCACGUUGACCCAUCUGCUAUCGCCGCCCUCGAUGCCCUGGGAUUGGGCCCCUUUUCAUCGGUGCACGAGGUGGCGCGGCCACCGUGGCAAGGAUAACCAUCGUCUUCCUCACCCAACCUCUCUUUCUGCCUCAACAAAUCUUGACGCAGCGGUGGAGAUCUAGACUAUGGUGCUGGCGUGCGUGCCUGAAGCUUGCGGCUGCACUUGGCGGAGGACUCCUCGCUGCCCUCAAGACAGCGGAGAAGAAGAGGGAAAAGAGGGGCGAACGAGGAGAGGAAAAGACAGAGUUAUUGUGGCAACCAGCACACGAUGUCGCCAUCGAUGGUCGCGACGGUCUACGUCGCCUAUGGACUGCGUUGGUGCUCCUCCGCGUGGAUGGCGUGGUAGGAUGCCGAGACGUCCUGGCCAAGGCCAUGCUGGCGCGCAAGGCGCUCUUUCCAGUUUGUAGCUGGGCAAGCUGGAGCAUGUCCAGUCCUCUGCGGCACAAGCCAGUAUGCCUCUCUGAUGGACGAGAUGCAAAGAGCCUCGAAAGGUGCGAUGGAUUAUAUUAGUCAUUACACUGAAGCUCCAAUGAGGAAGGGAGUAUUAUGAAUAUAUAAUUUUCAGUGGCAAUGAAGAAGCUUCAUGUUGACUGUAAUUCUGUUGAAACAAAAUCCUCAUCCCCAUGGUGAUACUUAUAAGCCCGCUGCAAGUUCAUACAUAUAUAAGACGAACUAAGCGAUCUUAUUUUAUAGAUUGAUCUUGCCAAUGAGAUCGAAGUGGUGGUUGUUUUGGAUGUCAGUGUGCCGAGGCAUCACACCAUAAUAACAACUGAAACAAUAUCAGGGUGUUGAGACAUCGUCAUGCUAUAAUGACAACUAAAACCGUGUUCAUCACCUUGCAGCUAUGCUUCUUCCUAGCUUCUGCGACUGUGUUCUUGGAUUCCUUCAGGUGGGAAGAAUAUCGUUAGGAAUUCAACAUGACAACUUCUGCAAUUCGGUGUGCCUUUAACUAAGUUUUUUUACAUGAAACCUCA